UACGUAGGGUGCAAGCGUUGUCCGGAAUUAUUGGGCGUAAAGAGCUCGUAGGCGGCUUGUCGCGUCGGCUGUGAAAACCUGGGGCUCAACCCCGGGCCUGCAGCCGAUACGGGCAAGCUAGAAUUCGGUAGGGGAGAGUGGAAUUCCUGGUGUAGCGGUGAAAUGCGCAGAUAUCAGGAAGAACACCCGUGGCGAAGGCGGCUCUCUGGGACGGUACUGACGCUGAGACGCGAAAGCGUGGGGAGCGAACAGG
rnacentral:rRNA from 1 species